GGAACCCGGCCGACAGAAGAUGGCGGAUGAGCAGCGUGCAGGGUUUUCUCCCUGUGGCUCACUCUCUCUUACUGUGCUGGGCGGUUGCUUCCUCUCCUGCUGCCCUUGGGAGUCAGACUCCAGGUUCUUCAGCCUGUGGCCCCUGGGGCUCUCGGGCCUUGGAGGACUGACUAGGAGCACACGGUGGGCCUCUCUGGUUUGGGGGCCUGGGACGUGGCGGAGCCCUGCAGCUUCUGUGCGGCCUGUUCUGGGCGUCGCGUUGAAACGCCAGCCAGUUCCCCAAUCCCCCUGGGAUUACAGGAGUGUUGAAGAAAUGUUGUGACACAUCAGAACACCGCGAAAUACAUGGACACUUUCAAAUCAUGGAAGACUCAAGGGUCAGGAGGGCAUCUUUCUCGGCUCUUCACUGUGAGAACCUUGUGGGAUUCCUGAAGAUGAAACCAUGAACGCGAGGGAGUCUUGCUAAAACUGCAGCAUUCGAGAGGUUUUCACUCAUGCUGGCUCACACUUGUCCUCUAGCAAUUCAUCAAAAUUACCACGACAAAGAAGACAGAAAAUACUACACACUACCCAGAGAUUGAAACUGAAGGUGUGAACAACAGAGAAAAGAGAGGGCAAAGAAAAGGAAAACAAAGAAGACGUGGGAUAUGAAAGGUGUAUGCCAUGUGUGGACAUCAAGAAAUGUUUCAGCUCGCACUUCUGCCACCAAUUGAGCCUGGAACCUCACUACUUGGAGUUGGGGGGAGGGCAGUGCUCAUUCAUCACCUGUGAAAAUAGGGAUUGAGAGUUCCCUAACUUUGCCAUUUUUCCUCAAGCACUGGCAUUGGUCUUCUGAAUGUCAGGCUCUGUAUAAGUGAGUCCUCAGCUGAGCCACAGGCUCUGCAUUCCUGGCAGUCCACACACUUCAUAUCCUUUGUUUAUGCUGCUCAUUUUGGAAUUCAAACAGGUUGGUGGGGCACAUUUCAACAGAUAAUGACACACACUGACUGCUCAUGAGCUAUUUUAUGGUGUGAGAAUGUUGUGAUGUUAUGAAAUGCGGAGGCAUUAAAACAUGGGGACAUUUUCUAGAAGAUCCUUAGCAGAGAGUACAGAAGACUAAGGUCCAAAUCUCUGAAAUGAUGUUUUCCAAAUUAUUGCACAGCUAUGUCAAAGUACCUUGAUCCAGUUAAUGUUAACAAAUAAAAAAUUAUGAAAUGUUAUUUUCUAGGUAUGGAUAGUAGUGGAUAGUAGUAGAUCUGUUGUGUAGUGGAGAUUACUUAGGAAGAAUAAAUUUCAACUUUACCAAGAAAGUACUACAUUAAUUGCAUUAGGGAAUUGUGAAUUGCAUUAGGAAAAUGCUCAUUCUUCUUUCAAUAGCCAAUAUCUGGAUACUAUACUCUCUUGAAUUUCUAAGAUUUGCAUCCAAUAUUCUAUAAUUAGCUUUCCAGUUUAUUGAAUGAUUUAAUUUACAUACAAAUAUUUUCUAAUAUAUUCCCUGUAAAAUAGUUUAAAAAAUUAAACGUUUCUCUAAUUACACAUUCCUCCCUAGCUGAUACAAUUUCAUUUAUUUGCUUACUUUCCCAGCUGGACAUUCAGAAAUUUUUUACUCAUAUUGUCUUCAAUUGCAUAUUUGCCAGUUUCUAGCUUUUAUUUUAUUUUUUAUAUCCAUUUUGUUCUAGGUGUGGAAAUUGCUAAGUGUAGAGCUUAAUAAUAUUUCACCAGAAAGAUAUGUGUCUAACUCCCUCAUGAAGAAAUAGUAUGUUACCAACACUCCCAAAUUUCCUUUGAUGUCAAAAAGCAUUAUUUUUCUCGAGUCUUUUUUUGUGUUGGUAUGAUAUAUAAACGAAAUCAUAUACA
ensembl:lncRNA LINC01446 long intergenic non-protein coding RNA 1446